rfam:Gossypium raimondii Chr09_contig_1077, whole genome shotgun sequence.
AUUCCAUUAUGAGGGCACUUCCCUAAUAAUUCUUUAUACCUUUCCCAUGCCUCAUACAAUGACUCAUCAUCCAUUUGUUGGAAAGUAGUGAUCUCGUUCCUCAACUU